rnacentral:rRNA from 1 species
UACAGAGGUCUCAAGCGUUGUUCGGAUUCAUUGGGCGUAAAGGGUGCGUAGGUGGCGCCGUUAGUCAGGUGUGAAAUCUCGGGGCUUAACUCCGAAACUGCAUUUGAUACUGCGGUGCUUGAGGACUGGAGAGGAGACUGGAAUUUACGGUGUAGCAGUGAAAUGCGUAGAGAUGGGGGAGAACACUCGUGGCGAAGGCGGCCAGCUAGACCAGUUCUGACACUGAGGCGCGACAGCGUGGGGAGCAAACAGG